GUUGCCUGUGUGUGGAUUGUGUUCAGCACUAAGGACAAUUGAGGUACCUGUGUUUGGAUGGUGUUCAGCACCAAGGACAGGUGUGUUUACCU
rnacentral:pre_miRNA from 1 species